GCAUUACUCGGAAGGAAGACGGCCACAUCUGCCUAUCGGAGAGCGACGGCCCCACGUGGGGCGCAACGGUACAUGACAUCAUCCCGCAGGAUCCACGAGGCAUCAGCCGUCCGUCCCACCGUGUCUUCCUCUCCCCGGGGAGCCCGCUAAUGGGACAGUGGAGCGGAGCCACCAUGCAGCAGAAGUCCUCCCAGCUCACCGCGCUGACAUCCAUCUCAGAGAGGAAGAACAAUGCUGACUUUAUUUUCCUCACACGCGCACACCAAGCAAUGCGUACACAUUUGCAAAGAAGCAAACGCCGAAUAAAUUAAGUGUUGCCUAUA